rnacentral:rRNA from 1 species
UACAGAGGGUGCAAGCGUUGUUCGGAAUUAUUGGGCGUAAAGCGCGCGCAGGCGGCCCGCGAGGUGUCACGUGAAAGCCCCGGGCUCAACCCGGGAGGGUCGUGGCAAACCGGCGGGCUUGAGGCCGGUAGAGGUGGGUGGAACUCCUGGUGGAGUGGUGAAAUGCGUAGAGAUCAGGAAGAACACCCGUGGCGAAGGCGGCCCACUGGGCCGGUACUGACGCUGAGGCGCGAAGGCGUGGGGAGCGAACGGG